rnacentral:rRNA from 1 species
GAUGAACGCUGGCGGCGUGCCUAAUACAUGCAAGUCGAGCGAACGGACGAGAAGCUUGCUUCUCUGAUGUUAGCGGCGGACGGGUGAGUAACACGUGGAUAACCUACCUAUAAGACUGGGAUAACUUCGGGAAACCGUAGCUAAUACCGGAUAAUAUUUUGAACCGCAUGGUUCAAAAGUGAAAGACGGUCUUGCUGUCACUUAUAGAUGGAUCCGCGCUGCAUUAGCUAGUUGGUAAGGUAACGGCUUACCAAGGCAACGAUGCAUAGCCGACCUGAGAGGGUGAUCGGCCACACUGGAACUGAGACACGGUCCAGACUCCUACGGGAGGCAGCAGUAGGGAAUCUUCCGCAAUGGGCGAAAGCCUGACGGAGCAACGCCGCGUGAGUGAUGAAGGUCUUCGGAUCGUAAAACUCUGUAUUUAGGGAAGAACAUAUGUGUAAGUAACUGUGCACAUCUUGACGGUACCUAAUCAGAAAGCCACGGCUAACUACGUG